UAACAGCCAUCUUGUGCUAUCAGGCGAUCAAUUCUCCAAUCAAAAUCCUCUUCAGCACCUCAAGGAUUUCAGACUGCUCCAACUGCAUCUGUAACUUAGGACGACUGUUCAACUUUACUUGUUCAUUUUGCCUGUUUUUGUUGACUGUUUUGGAGUUUAUCAAAGUUUGAUAGAUCAUGGCAACAACACUGUUCACCUCGUUCAAGUUACCAGUUAAUUUAGUUUCCAGUUAAUGGCUGCUUUGAGAAGAUUAAGAAUGUAGAAGAUCACAG